rfam:Microvirga vignae strain BR3299 T20BR3299_1_(paired)_contig_136, whole genome shotgun sequence.
CGUUGGCCCUCCAAAGGUCAACACCGAAGAGGCUUGUUUAUCAUUGCCAGGCGUGCGGACGGGAAUCUCCCAUCCAAUCCAAGGCAGCAUCGUCGGGUGAAGAGCCCAUCUCACGCUUCUCGUGUCUCCAUCGCACGAAGCGGGAUGCAUCUUCCCU